UGUAUUCCUGCAAGCAAGAGGAGAUCUAUUGGCACCAAGGAAAGCCCAGUGAUAGCAGGUACUGUGCUCACUGAGAUGACACACGGAGCCCCCACAGAUCCCUCAUGCCCCCAGAGCCACAUCUCCAAUGGUCACCCGCAAAGAGUCUAGGUAUAGCUGAGCUUAUGCCAUUUGUGCACCGAAAGAAAGCCUGAGAGGACAGGCAGGGGAUUUGUUGAUACCUCCGAAAUAUCAGGAGUUGCUGGAGAACCAGUGGGAGAUACAAGGGAUGUGCAUUGUGCGCCUGUAACUUCCUAAGUGAAGAGGUGGGGUGCUGAGCCUUAACCAAAGGCUUUUUUUAUUCAGAACAUUAGCAAGCUACUGAAGUUAAGCAGGGAAUGGCAGCCUGGUCAGGGCCCAUCAGGCUGCUGGGGGAAACAAGGGUCUGGAUCAUUCAGGGUUCUCUCUACAGAGGCACAAUCCCAAAUCAGCUGCACACCAAGAUCUCAGGAAGCUGGUUCCAGGAACAAUGAAGACUGAACUGGUUCAAACCUGACAAGCUGGAUGUUUUAAAAGAUUCAGGGAUACAAAGCAGGAGCGGAGGGAUAGCUCAGUGGGCGGAGGGAUAGCUCAGUGGUUUGAGCAUUGGCCUGCUAAACCCAGGGUUGUGAGUUCAAUCCUUGAGGGGGCCAUAUAGGGAUCUGGGGCAAAAAUUGGGGAAUGGUCCUGCUUUGAGCAGAGGGUGGGACUAGGUGACCUCCUGAGGUCUCUUCCAACCCUGAUAUUCUAUGAUUCUAUAAGCGCCAGGUCACACACCAGCCAGCAUUUUUUUCACUGCCUUUCUUUCCCCCUCUCUUGCUUUUCUGGUUUGCAGGCUUUCACUGGUUUCUCUCUGCCUUUGAUGCUUCUCCACCUUCGAUUCUAUUUCUGUCUCCCUGUCUGUGUUGUUCCUCUCUUGAUUUGCCUGUAUCUUACAGAGCCCAUUUUAAUCUGUCUCAGUUUCACCGGAACACAGAGACAUCUCCUUCUCUAACACACUUCCUGUUUAGUCUCCUUUCCCAUAGAUGACUGUGGCAGUACUACCCCAUAUCAGAUAUCCCUAUCAGGUUGGGCAGAUAACCCAUGUACUAAUAAAAUCAAUGACACCAAAGCAGCUUGAAAUCUACAAAAAGCUCUUCUGCUUCGCAGCCUCUUCCUUCUCCCAUCAAAGCGGCAGCAAGGCAGAGUGCUGUCCAUUUCAAGCUGUUUCUGCUUUGCUGCUCUAGGUGUGGCCUGUCAGCAGAGAAGUGGACAGUCAUAAUCCUUGCAUGGGCAUUGUGGAGGGAGGUGCAGCGCUGGGCAGCAACUGCAGGUCAUCCCAGGCUGCUGGGCAGAGGAUUCUUCCAGCCUGAACACUCAUUCAGCACGUAUAAGAAACGUGUGUUCCAGACAACUACAGAGGAAUGUAACAUAGGAGUGACAUGACAUAAUAGCCGCGUGGGAGAGAGAUCACAAGCAGGAAGGAGGCACAUGUAGCAGAGGGCAGAACAGCAGAGCAUCAGGGGAUGAAAAUGGAAAUCAGCCAGGAGAAGAUGGAAAAAGAUGCAAGACUGGACCCAAUGCUCUGCGAUUCUGUAAAAAAAUAAAA